GUGUCAGCAGCCGCGGUAAUACAGAGGGUGCAAGCGUUAAUCGGAAUUACUGGGCGUAAAGCGAGCGUAGUCGGUUAUUUAAGUCGGGUGUGAAAGCCCCGGGCUCAACCUGGGAAUUGCAUUCGAUACUGGAUAGCUAGAGUUCGGCAGAGGGAAGCGGAAUUUCCGGUGUAGCGGUGAAAUGCGUAGAUAUCGGAAGGAACAUCAGUGGCGAAAGCGGCUUCCUGGACCAGAACUGACGAUCAGGCUCGAAAGCGUGGGGAGCAAACAGGAUUAGAUACCCUGGUAGUCCACGCCAUAAACGAUGACAACUAGACGUUGGGAGGGUAAGCCUCACAGUGUCGCAGCUAACGCGUUAAGUUGUCCGCCUGGGGAGUACGGCCGCAAGGUUGAA
rnacentral:rRNA from 1 species